GACGAACGCUGGCGGCGCGCUUAACACAUGCAAGUCGAGCGAGAACCAGGGCUUCGGCCCUGGGGACAGCGGCGAACGGGUGGGUAACACGUGGAUAACCUGCCCUCGGCACCGGGAUAGCCCGGGGAAACCCGGAUUAAUACCGGAUGGCCCGUCCGGCUCUCGAGCCGGCCGGAAAAGGUAGCUUCGGCCUCCGGCCGAGGAUGGGUCCGCGGCGGAUUAGCUUGUUGGCGGGGUAACGGCCCACCAAGGCGACGAUCCGUAGCUGGUCUGAGAGGACGAUCAGCCACACUGGGACUGAGACACGGCCCAGACUCCUACGGGAGGCAGCAGUGGGGAAUCUUGCGCAAUGGGCGAAAGCCUGACGCAGCGACGCCGCGUGAGGGAAGAAGGCCUUCGGGUUGUAAACCUCUUUCAGGAGGGACGAAGCUACUCGGGUGAACAGCCCAGAGGGUGACGGUACCUCCAGAAGAAGCCCCGGCUAACUACGUGCCAGCAGCCGCCGUAA
rnacentral:rRNA from 1 species